rnacentral:rRNA from 1 species
UACGUAGGGUGCGAGCGUUGUCCGGAAUUAUUGGGCGUAAAGAGCUCGUAGGCGGUCUGUCGCGUCUGCUGUGAAAACCCGAGGCUCAACCUCGGGCCUGCAGUGGGUACGGGCAGACUAGAGUGCGGUAGGGGAGAAUGGAAUUCCUGGUGUAGCGGUGGAAUGCGCAGAUAUCAGGAGGAACACCGAUGGCGAAGGCAGCUCUCUGGGCCGUAACUGACGCUGAGGAGCGAAAGCGUGGGGAGCGAACAGG